rnacentral:rRNA from 1 species
UGAGGAAUAUUGGUCAAUGGACGCAAGUCUGAACCAGCCAUGCCGCGUGAAGGAAUAAGGCCCUAUGGGUCGUAAACUUCUUUUGCAUGUGAGCAAUAAGGUCCACGUGUGGUCCGAUGAGAGUAGCAUACGAAUAAGCACCGGCUAACUCCGUGCCAGCAGCCGCGGUAAUACGGAGGGUGCAAGCGUUAAUCGGAAUAACUGGGCGUAAAGGGCAUGCAGGCGGUUUAUCAAGUAGGAUGUGAAAGCCCCGGGCUCAACCUGGGAAUUGCAUUCUAAACUGAUAGACUAGAGUAUUGCAGGGGGAGACGGAAUUCCAGGUGUAGCGGUGGAAUGCGUAGAUAUCUGGAAGAACACCAAAGGCGAAGGCAGUCUCCUGGGCAAAUACUGACGC